rnacentral:rRNA from 1 species
UACGGGGGGAGCAAGCGUUGUUCGGAUUUACUGGGCGUAAAGGGCGCGUAGGCGGCCACCGCAAGUCGACUGUGAAAUCUCCGGGCUUAACUCGGAAAGGUCAGCCGAUACUGCGGGGCUAGAGUGCAGAAGGGGCAACUGGAAUUCUCGGUGUAGCGGUGAGAUGCGUAGAUAUCGAGAGGAACACCUGCGGCGAAGGCGGGUUGCUGGGCUGACACUGACGCUGAUUGUGCGAAAGCUAGGGGAGCGAACGGG